rnacentral:rRNA from 1 species
CGACGAGACUUGGUNCNAGUUGCAGUGGCGGACGGGUGCGUAACGCGUAAGAAUCUACCUUUCGGAGGGGGAUAACAUCGGGAAACUGAUGCUAAUACCCCAUAAUGCUGAGGAGCUAAAGGUGAAAAUCGCCGAAAGAGGAGCUUGCGUCUGAUUAGCUAGUUGGUGGGGGUAAAAGCCUCCCAAGGCCACGAUCAGUAGCUGGUCUAAGAGGAUGAUCAGCCACACUGGGACUGAGACACGGCCCAGACUCCUACGGGAGGCAGCAGUGAGGAAUUUUCCGCAAUGGGCGAAAGCCUGACGGAGCAAUGCCGCGUGGAGGAAGAAGGUCUGUGGAUCGUAAACUCCUUUUUUCAGAGAAGAAGUUCUGACGGUAUCUGAAGAAUAAGCUCCGGCUAACUCUGUGCCAGCAGCCGCGGUAAUACAGAGGGAGCGAGCGUUAUCCGGAAUGAUUGGGCGUAAAGCGUCUGUAGGUGGUUUAGAAAGUCUACUGUCAAAUACCAAGGCUCAACCUUGGGCAGGCAGUGGAGUACUUUUAGACUAGAGUGUGGUAGAGGUAGAGGGAAUCCCUAGCGUAACAGUGAAAUGUGUAGAUUUUAGGGAGAACACCAGCGGCGAAGGCGCUCUACUGGGCCAAGACUGACACUGAGAGACGAAAGCUAGGGGAGCGAAUGGGAUUAA